rnacentral:rRNA from 1 species
GAUGAACGCUGGCGGCGUGCCUAAUACAUGCAAGUCGAGCGAACAGACGAUGAGCUUGCUCCUCUGACGUUAGCGGCGGACGGGUGAGUAACACGUGGAUAACCUACCUAUAAUACUGGGAUAACUUCGGGAAACCGGAGCUAAUACCGGAUAAUAUAUUGAACCGCAUGGUUCAAUAGUGAAAGACGGUUUUGCUGUCACUUAUAGAUGGAUCCGCGCCGCAUUAGCUAGUUGGUAAGGUAACGGCUUACCAAGGCAACGAUGCGUAGCCGACCUGAGAGGGUGAUCGGCCACACUGGAACUGAGACACGGUCCAGACUCCUACGGGAGGCAGCAGUAGGGAAUCUUCCGCAAUGGGCGCAAGCCUGACGGAGCAACGCCGCGUGAGUGAUGAAGGUCUUCGGAUCGUAAAACUCUGUUAUUAGGGAAGAACAAAUGUGUAAGUAAAUAUGCACGUCUUGACGGUACCUAAUCAGAAAGCCACGGCUAACUACGUG